rnacentral:rRNA from 1 species
GACGAACGCUGGCGGCGUGCUUAACACAUGCAAGUCGAACGGAAAGGCCCUGCUUUUGUGGGGUGCUCGAGUGGCGAACGGGGGAGUAACACGUGAGUAACCUGCCCUUGACUUUGGGAUAACUUCAGGAAACUGGGGCUAAUACCGGAUAGGAGCUCCUGCUGCAUGGUGGGGGUUGGAAAGUUUCGGCGGUUGGGGAUGGACUCGCGGCUUAUCAGCUUGUUGGUGGGGUAGUGGCUUACCAAGGCUUUGACGGGUAGCCGGCCUGAGAGGGUGACCGGCCACAUUGGGACUGCGAUACGGCCCAGACUCCUACGGGAGGCAGCAGUGGGGAAUAUUGCCCAAUGGGCGGAAGCCUGAUGCAGCAACGCCGCGUGCGGGAUGACGGCCUUCGGGUUGUAAACCGCUUUCGCCUGUGACGAAGCGUGAGUGACGGUAAUGGGUAAAGAAGCACCGGCUAACUACGUG